UACGUAGGGUGCGAGCGUUGUCCGGAAUUAUUGGGCGUAAAGAGCUUGUAGGCGGUUUGUCGCGGCUGCUGUGAAAAUCCGAGGCUCAACCUCGGACUUGCAGUGGGUACGGGCAGGCUAGAGUGUGGUAGGGGAGACUGGAAUUCCUGGUGUAGCGGUGAAAUGCGCAGAUAUCAGGAGGAACACCGAUGGCGAAGGCAGGUCUCUGGGCCACUACUGACGCUGAGAAGCGAAAGCAUGGGGAGCGAACAGG
rnacentral:rRNA from 1 species